rnacentral:rRNA from 1 species
UACGUAGGGGGCGAGCGUUGUCCGGAGUUACUGGGCGUAAAGCGCACGCAGGCGGUCUGCUAAGUUUGGAGUGACAGUUGGUGGCUUAACUGCCAAAGUGCUUCGAAAACUGACAGACUUGAGGGCUUCAGAGGGACACGGAAUUCCGGGUGGAGUGGUGAAAUGGCGUAGAGAUCCGGAGGAACACCAAAGGCGAAGGCAGUG